rnacentral:rRNA from 1 species
UAAGAACCUCAUCUUUCUUGAUCUGAAGAUAUUGGGGUUUAGAUAUAUUGUGCCCAGUGGGCCACUUUUGGUAAGCAGAACUGGCGCUGUGGGAUGAACCAAACGCGAUGUUACGGCGCCUAAAUUAAUGACUCAUAUUGAUACCAUGAAAGGCGUUGGUUGCUUAAAACAGCAGGACGGUGGACAUGGAAGUCGUAAUCCGCUAAGGAGUGUGUAACAACUCACCUGCCGAAGCAACUAGCCCUUAAAAUGGAUGGCGCUCAAGUCAUAUGCCUAUACAUCGCCGCUAAAAUAAAAAGUUUUUGCCUUCGGGUAAAUACUAUAAAAUUUUAGUGAGUAGGAGGGUACAAUGGUGUGCGCAGAAGUGUUUGGCGUGAGCCUGCAUGGAGCCGCCAUUGGCACAGAUCUUGGUGGUAGUAGCAAAUAAUCGAAUGAGAUCUUGGAGGACUGAAGUGGAGAAGGGUUUCGUGUGAACAGUGGUUGAUCACGAGUUAGUCGGUCCUAAGCUCUAUGCGAAAGCUGUUUAAUUUAUGUUACAAAAUUUUCGUUUGACAAAAAUUGUCGUACAUAAUUUAAUAAGGGCGAAAGGGAAUACGGUUCCAAUUCCGUAACCUGUUGAGUAUACGUUUGUUUAUUAAAAAUGGGUCUUAUUACACUCAUCCUGGUAACAGGAACAACCAUAGAGAAGCCUUCGAGAGAUAUUGGAAGAGUUUUCUUUUCUGUUGAACAAUCGUAUCACCAUGGAAGUCUUUCGCAGAGAGAUAUGGUGAAUGGAUUGGAAGAGCAUGACAUUUACUGUUGUGUCAGUAUUUUCUCCUUGGACCUUGAAAAUCUAUGGUGGGGCCACGCAAACAUCUCAACAGACCGUACCGAUAUCCGCAGCCGGUCUCCAAGGUGAAGAGUCUCUAGUCG